rnacentral:snRNA from 1 species
GUGCUCGCUUCAGCAGCACAUAUACUAAAAUUGGAACGAUACAGAGAUUAGCAUGGCCCCUGCACAAGGAUGAUACGCAAAUUCAUGAAGCAUUCCAUAUUUUU